UGAAAGCACCAAAAAUUACCUAAUCAAAAUUCUUUGAAUUGCCCGUCCUAUCCAAAAGACAUCAUUUCCUUUUUGACGGUAUCAAUUCUCAGGAAAGCUUGUUCUUCAAAAACCUGUUGAUAUGCUAUGUGAAACUUUCCUUUCUUCUUUCCCCUUCUCCGGUCAAUUUCAGUCUGGUUCUCGCAUCCAGUCAGCAUUCUUUUGUUUUUCGGCAUACCUAGGGACGUUCUUUAGUAGUCUCCUUCAGUAAUGAUUUCCGGCCACUGCAUUUCAAUGCCUAUUUAGACUGCUUUACGGCAUGCAAGUACUUCAUCAGCGAAAAUGGAGGCCACGUCUUUAUGGGUCUCUGAGCAGGAUAAAAAAAGAUCCCCUCAACGUUUCUGACCACAAAACCCGAGGCUAAUUUUUAGUGACACCCAUCAUAUGCACCGUCAAAAUUGAUCUUAACAAUAGAACCAGCAUUUCUAUCUCCCCAAAUGGCCCAGAGCGCAAAACAGAAUAUUCGACAGUGGUGGGGGGACACUCAUAAAAAACCUAGGUAAGCCAUUGUGUAAAAUCCAUAGUAGUAUCAAUAAGAGUAUUCGAGAAUAAUAAUGCUUCUAGACUUCAACUAAAAUAGGGCAUUCGCGGAACAGAUGAUCACUUGUUUCAACCCCUCUUCCAUAUUAGGGACAGGUUGUAUUAGUGACUAGUUUCCCAUGAUGCAUGUUGACUAGUGUAGGCAAGUAGUUCCAUGAUACCUUCUAGAUUCUAAUUUUUAUUUUAGUAGCGAGAUUUUGAUGCCUGAGUUUUUUUUGUAGAAGUUUCUAUAGUUGGUUUGUAAAGCAUAAGCUCUAGGAUUAGCACAUGAAUUUUGUAAUAGUUUAUACGCGUUACGAACCAAAAAUUUGCUGAAGGCUCACCAUUCCAUAUGAGAAAAUCAUCGUGUGGUUUUUGUGCCAGCGAGAUACGGAGUAUCUUCUCAGCAUCUCCCUCCAAAAAGGUUUUAACUCGAUACAGUCCUUGAACCCAUACCCCAUUCGUCUACAUACAAAGAAGAAAGUCACCAAAUUCUCAUAUUUAAAGGAAAUACACGAUUUCCUUUGAAUACCUUCUGAGACGAAAAUUCUCCUACGUAGACGUUUCUGCACAUCCAAUUGGACUCUAAGAUGACAAAAUUCUCCUUUCAGAUCUAAUUACUCCUCCAAAAGUAACUACUAUGGCUUUCAGGAAAUUUUUUUGUCAAAUUUUGGUAAAUACGAUCCAAUCUUGAUCCAAUAUGGUGAAGAAAUAAGCCGAAUUUGACUUUUUUCCACCGGUUUAACCAACCGGUUGAAGAGUAUAAGUUGCUUCAUAAAUAGCCAUGGUUGACCCUUUAUAACUGUCUCUAGAUCUUCUUCAGUUUCAAACACAACCAAAAAUAGAUUUUGCCCUACCAGUUGAAUCUCAAUUUUUUUCCUAGUAUUCCGGAUACUUUUCAUUUGUGCCCUAAAACUAUCCGGAUUGUAAGAUUUUCCUAUCCAUACCGUACAUAACAAAGUUGGUUUCUCACUUGGUACAACCACUGAGCUUUUGACCGAUAAUUGGACGAGCUCUUCUGUCAGAAGGGAGAUCUCGUCUCCUCCCAAACUCUCUACGCCACUACUUUUCUCCAUCCCAAACCACAGUAGUUACUGUUUUCUCUAGGACACUUAAGAAAAGCACUCUUGGCUAUUUUACAAUUAUAUAUAAAUUAAAACUAAUGUUUAACACUAUAAAUAUAUGCAUUAGUAAGGCAAUUUCAUUCAA